GGGAACAGACCGCUAUUUAAGGGAUCCUCGUAUAUUUGUUAUUCCCACGCGUCAGGCCUGGUAGAAAUCCAACGGACAAACCACUUCCAAUCCUACGGCAAGAAACUGGUCCGAUGGGAAACAAAAAAUCGGGAGCCGAUCCCUAGUGGUUCCCUUGAAACAAACACAACAUUCAAGCAAUCAUGAAAGUUCGGUGCGCCAAUCGCAGGCAACAAUUAAUGGAUGUACGUUACUAUAUCGCCGGCGGCAUACUUCAUGGCUUCAUGCUUCGUCUCCUCAUCAUCUUUGUCUCUCCCUGCUUCCCUCGAAUUCUCUAUCUCAAGGAGUGAUGCCGACGGUACGCCCGACACUCUAGCUCCCACUCACCGCCGAUGGCGAGGCGGCCGAGAAGCUGGAUGUGAGGGAAGAUCCCGACAGCCGUAGAGGCUAGAGGGUGUGCCCGGCUCGUCCCGUGCUCGAAGGGAUGAGGCGCUCCCGGUGGGGAGGUGCGCUUGGAGACUACAGUACGACCAUAACUUCAAUCUCGCCAUCUCGGUAAGGAGCCGGUCUCAUGGGGUUGCUGCGGAUCCGCCAUGUAUGUGGCCAUGUGGAGACCGCCAUGUAUGUGGCCAUGUGGAGACCAUCUGACUGAGGACUAUCUCCCCAUUGCCUCAUGCUCUCUUCCAAUCGUUUGAUCUUGAGGUCCAAGUCGCAGACAGACCAGCAGCUACUCACAAGAAUGGGAGAUUCACCCGUGGCGAAGAAUUUGGUUAGGCGAAGUGAAUACCAGGACAUGACGCUGCUUCACUGGCCCUGGCUGCUCCCUAUCUUUAUCUGUCUGCUCUGGUGUUCUCCAUAAUUCACCUCACUUAUGGUUACAAAAUUUUCUCCUGCAUGUUUUUUUUGUCUGCAAACAAAUUGUGAAGUUUGUUCUUUGCCAUGAGUACAAUAGACUGAGACCAUCGAGUUAUCAUUCAUGAUUUGUUCCUUUUGUCACCUCUCAGGAUGCCAGCUAUAAGAAUAUUCCAAGGAAGGCAAGAUUUUGAUUUUAUUCUUCUUAUGCAAAUCAGGUUUUCCUGUAAAUAUUGCUGGUUCUAAAAGUUUAUUGGACAAUUCUACAUUAUGUUUUGUAUGGAUACUGUCAAUAAUUCGACUGUCAUAUAAGCUUAUUAGGCUCCUGGGAUCUGUCUUGAGCAAUGGAUGGUUUUCUUCUUCAGUGUGAAAUUGUACCAAAGGAAAGAGGCUUCAAAAAUAUUUUAGGACACUCCAGUACCCUCUUGAAUGAAUCUUAUCUCAAGGUUGUAUGUCUUGUUAUAACGGCAGUCCUCCCUCCAUUGUCAAGCAAUUUACUGUAAAGUUUGUACACUUUUUGCAGAAUCAAUAUGGAUGCAACCUGUAUGAUAUGGUUACUUGUAGAAAAUUUUGAUUACCACUUGCAUUUAUUUGAGUUGUUACUGCCCUGAAUUCUUACAUGGAGGUGGUUGUUCUGAUGCUAGCGAACUCUUGAAUUGUGAUUUAGAUGGAGAUAUUAAGAACUAUUGUUUUGUGUUCACUACAAAAGGUUCUUUUCAAUUCCUACUGAUGUGUUCUUGCAUUUCUUAUAUUGUUAUCUCCUUCAGGGGCAGGGAGGAUCUGUUUACCUUCUAUCACUGGCUCUACUUAUUAUUUUCAUGUGCAGAAAUAUUCCACAAAGCCUUCAUCAGGAACCAGUUCGUCACUUGAUUACUAUAUAUAAGGUUUAUCGUAAGCUCACUUGCUGAAUGUGUGUGUGUUAUUAAAGAAAAUUGUUUAAUAUAUACAUAUCCAUAAAAAUGCUGACUGUUGGUCCACUCUGUGCGGAUAAUUCCUUUCAUUUGGAUGCUUGCACAAACAGUGGCCUGCCCUAGAUAUCUAUAUAUUGAGUUGCGGUUCAACUAUUCUUCACUCAAAUUUGCAUCUCAAAUCAAAGAGUUGGCCAAAUAAGGACACUUAUUCUACUCAUGUGCUCUCACACUUCAGUGAAGCAACUAUUCCAAGCCCGUCCACUAUUUUAGCUCAUAUUAACAUUAUAGAUCCAGUUGGCCAGAGUUAACAAAAAUCUAUAGGCUGCAUCUUUCUAGCUUUGCUGCUCUGCUCCGCAUGUGCAUAUGAAAUAGACUUAAGGUACAUAUAAGUUUUCUAUUUAUGUUAAAGCGUCAAGUUAAUUCCUAGCUAUGUAUUUAGUUAGUGUAAAAUUUUAAGGCUGAAACUCUUCCUACUUAGCGGAAGUAGGCUAUGUUGAGAAUUAGAGACUUGUUAAUUUUCUUUUGGGGAUCAAUUGAAUCUGAACUCUAUAUAUUUGUCUUAGAAAUAGAGAACUCUUAGUAUAGCAAUCUGGCCAUUCUUGUAUCGUCAUCACACCCUCUACCUUACAUAGUUAUGUCGACAUUUGGCUUCUAAAUGCUGCGAUAAUUUCCUUAAUUAAGCUAAUUGAUUGCCAUCUGGUUUCCUGUUAUCUGUAGACCAUCUUAUUUCUAACUCUAAUUAUAAGAUUGCAGUAUCCCUUUUCCAGGAAAUGUUCGUGAUCUUGAAGAAAGCAAAGUCCUCUUCGGCUGUAUGGACUCUGCGCAUGUACAAUCAGGUGACGGCAGUCUUCUCCGAAAGUUGCCAAGUUAGAUUUUUUACUUAGUUAUUAUACACUAGAGAGAAUGUAAAAGAGAAGUUUGUUUUUUUCCUUAGUUAUUAAGGAAUGAUCUGUUAGAGAAAGGAGAAUGUAUUUUCUCCGCAAUGUCAUAUUUCUUCCCUUAGCAACACAAUAUCCUACUAAAAUUAAAACAAUUAUCACUAAUUGUUAGAGAUGAGAAUAAGAGAUAGAGCAUUAUAUGACUUUUAUCUUUUUUUUAGGGCUAUUAUAUGACUUUUAUCAAUUGCCUUUUGUAGAUGAUGUGAAGGGCUAAAAAAAUAUGUUCUUCUCUACCCUUGUACAAGCUCUGAAUGAUUUGUCGGCUUGAUCAAAUGUUCGCUUACUUGGUCUUUUUUUUUCUUGCUACUAUCAUGUCUCGGAUGACAAUGACAAAAAUAACCAUAAUAAUAAGCCAAUCAUAAUAAUAAGUAGUAGUAUAUUGUUAGGAAAUUCUAAGGCAUAUAUAUUGUACCACUAUAUGACGAUAAUUUCUCCUAUAAAUGUCCCUAGACUACCCAGCCAUCCAGGGGGUCUGAGAGGGGCAAAUCAAUCUGGUCCACACGUUUUCACCGUCCAUGACGCAUGGGGCCGAGUAUAUGCGGGAUCCACCGAGCAGAGGGAGCGAUGCUGCUCAUCCGCGUCGCGUCCUUUGGCGGUUUUCUCAUGGGAGUGGGUGGACAACGCCUUGUCUCGAUUGGUGCCGUAAAAACCCUAGCUGCCCAAUCCUCAUCUCCACUCCCCUCUGCCCUCAUCUCCACUUCCCUCCGCCGCCUCUCCUUGGCCGACCUCCACCUUCCGCCUGGACGCGGCCGCAACAGCGGCAGAGAACGCGCGCCCGAGCGAGGGCGGCUGGAUGCGGCGAUGGAGUCUCGCCGUACGGCCGGUCGCGCGGCACUGGCCGGACGUGGCGGCUGUACGCAGCGACGGCUGGACGCGGCGGCUGUACCGGCAGCGGCUGCGGCAGAGAACGCGCGCCCGAGCGAGGGCGGCUGGACGCGGCAGCGACGGCUGGAUGCAGCGGUGGAGGCUCACCGGACGGCCGGACGCGCGGCGCUGGCUGGACGCGGCGAUGGAUGGACACGGCGGGUGUAACGGCAACGGCGAUGGCGCAUCCCCGGCUCCGAUUCGCCCGCCACCUGCGCUGGAAGUGGGAGCCGACGGCGGAUGCUGGACGCGGCAGAACUGCGGCAAGGAUACGCGGUCAGGCGCACUGCAGGGAACGGUGGUGGAGUAGGUGUGAGUCAAGGACGGCCAGGAUCCGGGGCAGGGCCGGCCAAAUCGUGGCGGGCGGCGGAUUUCGACAAUACAGGGACAUCAACGGCAAGCACUGCUGGUUUUAAGACUCCAAGCUACUAUUUUAGUAAAAUAUUUGAUGUGCUAAAACAAUAAUGCGGAGAGAAGUCGUUUCUCCAAUGAAAAAUAAUAGCUCAAGAAGGUGAUUUCAGAUCUUCCUUGUGAGGUACUUCAAAAAUGGCUGAGGUGCGUUGAAUUUUAUGGAAUGAAUUCCUAGGCACCAACAGAAGGAUUUGUGCAAUGGUGAUGCCAAUGAUGCACAAUGAGGAGAUGGUUGGGCCUUGUGGUGUGCUUACGACAGCAGCUCUCCUGUCAGUGCGGUGUUCUCGGCUGUAGUAGGGCGACCUUGCCAGCAAACUCGCCAUCUCUUUCCCUAGGUUCAAACUCCCGAUGAGGUUCUGCAGCGCUGAUAUCAACCUCACCAGAGGCAUUCGCCGCCUCUCUUCCCCUGCAGUUUACUGCCGUUGCUUCACCUGUGGAACUUCGCCAGAAACGCCGGAAAAGAGAAUAGCCGCUGCAUCUUGGAGACCCUCACCCAUAGUCGCAGUCCCAUGUUUGCCGGUUUUAGUUCCUCCAUUUUAUUCUGGAUCCAACUUUGUGUCAGCAUCAUUUGUUGUAUGGAUUUCAAGCAUAAAUAGCAGAAACUGAUUGGUGUGUAUGAUCAUUGGCCAAUUCUGCUGCCUGGUGAUCACUCGCUUGCCGUCACCUGAAGGACCUAACAUGAGGUUUCACAUGCUUCAUGAACUUUUACUCAAAUGAUCAAAGAAUUGCGGGAGCUAAUGUGGAUAUACAUUUCAUUUCAAAAACUUAGAGGGUGGCUUGCUGUUUGAUGUUAUGAUUAUGAAGCUGCAAUUCACCAAUUUAUCCCUUCUCAGGAGGUUUGUGUGUGAUGCAGCUUUCACGUGUUUGGAGCCUUUAGCCUUGCCUGGUCAUGCACGUUUCUUACAGUGUCAGUCCCGCAUUCAUUUCUUGAAGAAGAUGAUGAUUCUGUGAAUAGUUGGUCUUGGUCAUGUCUGUCAAUGGAUGAAGCACGCAGCUCUGUUUGCUUUGGGGUAUUGCUAUCCACCUGCCAUCGGAAGAUGGUGCUGGAGUGUUUGAUGGAGCUAGAAAAGAACAUGCAAGUCAAGUGACUGAUUUUUGUAGCAGAGAUGUUCACGAGGCUAGAAGGAACAACCUUAGUUGAGGCAUUUCUACAUAAAUAUGAAGGCUUCUGCACGUCCAAGUGUUGUUUGUGGUGGUACCUAUGUGCUAAAUAAGCCAGAUGGUCAGAUCUCCGAGUUUCUUCUUGGAUGCCCUAUUUCACGAUGUUGAAGGGAGAAUGCAUUUGGUUUAUAUUCCAGGUGUCGUCAGCUAUACCAAGCAGCUAGACAAUAUGUAUCAUCCAAACUUGGUUUCUUUCUUUGCAAUCGAACAGGGUGCUUUCCUCUUACUAUUCUGAAAAGCCAUAACUCUGCAUUUAAGAAGUGAUUGUCUUCACGGGCGUAUAGAUGAGUUAGAAUGAUGACUAGCACUCGUAUGUUGAAUAUAGCACUCCCCUUUAUCAGGUGCUUUAGUACAGACUAUUGAUAUAAGAGAAAAGGCAAGUUCUGUGUUUUUUUGUACCCUUUGUGGGUGACAUGACUAACUAUUGUACUCUCUCUGUCUCUAAAAAAAGUUGCUCACCUUUGUGUAGAUACAGAGGUAUAUAGGCAUGUUUUAGUUAUAGAUACAUCUCUAUCUACAAAAAGUUGAGCACUUCUUCUAUUUUGUCACUUCUCUUAGAAAAAAUAUAAAAAUUUAGAAAUUCUGCAGUCUUGAUUUCAAGAUUUGAAGUUAACUAGCUGUCUUGAAGUGAUUCAUCUAAUUUGAACCUUUUUUGCGGGGCAUAUAAUUGGAACCUAAAUUUUGUGUAAAAACUGAAUUUUAUAAAAAAAAAUGCUUAUCUUAGCAGUCCCCUUUGUUUGUAUUAAGAUUUUGAUUCAUAUAAUCGGAACAUAUAAAAAGUUCCACAAUUUUGAGGUGAAUUAGCUAUCGAUAUGCUUUUUGUGAGAACUAUGUCCAUGUGCUCAAGAUGAUAGGAUAUGAAUUUGCUCACUGAAAUCAUGUUCUUGUUUAGUUAUGCCAUAGAUUUGUUUGGUCUGAUUGUAGAUGAUGCCCUUUAACUUGGUACUACCUAUUUAGAAGUGUUCACGGGAAGUUUCUUCCCUGCACGCUAUAAGAUUAAAAAAUGAUCAAUUAGUUUACUUGUUUCUUGCUGUCAUUUUAAUUGAGGUGAUGCUUAAAUAAUCUUGGAUUUUUACGAUGGAUAAUGGUUUAUCUACAAAUCUAAUAGUUUGAUAGGCCUCUGCCCAUUAUGAUGAUAGGUUGCCUCAAACGAUUGAAAUUUACAUCAAAUGAGGCAUACAGGAGGCCGUUGGAUGGGUUCCAAUGGUUCAAGUUGUCCUGGCUGCAUUAGGUUUCAUUGUGUUUGGAGGAGGUAGUGUUGAUCCCGGUUCUGGGGAAUUGAUUUGGGCAACUUUUGAAGUUUGGUUCUCAUAUAUUGGUCCUGAAAGAUAUUUUUGUGCAAGUGGCCAAUUGAUGUUACGCUUAUUUGAAAGCCAAGCCUGGUGUGCUUGCACUGCAAUAAUCAGAGCCGGAAUUAGUGAGUGGGGCUUUCAACAUGAUUCUUUGUUGCAUCUAGCUCCACAAACCACCUUUAUUCAGCUGUGGAACCCUGAGCAAGGUGCAGUUCCCCUCCAAGUUACCCUCCAAGUGUGCAGCGUGUGAUCCACCAUGUUGAGCAAUGCUGCAUUUACUCUGAGCAAUUUUUUUUUGUAAAAUUAGAGCUUAAAUAAGCUAGCCAGUGGCAGCUAAAUGCCCAGAUAGGUUGAGAUGUUGAUGGAGCUGAUAGGCUCUAUUACUUCAUGGAUUAAUGAUUGCUGGUAUCACUAGGAUAGUAGUUAAUGAAUCUUGAAAUCAUGUCUCGCCAUGCAUAAUUUUGCCGAUUGGUGUAACCAUGUUAUCUAUGAUAUUGGUUGCUGUUUUGAGUACAAGAAAAUAAAGAUCCGGGGCACUGAAAGCAUCCUUAUUUGUAGUUGAA